AUACUUACCUGGCAGGGGAGAUACCAUGAUCAAGAAGGUGGUUUUCCCAGGACGAGGCUUAUCCAUUGCACUCCGGAUGUGCUGACCCCUGCAAUUUCCUCAAAUGUGGGAAACUCGACUGCAUAAUUUGUGGUAGUGGGGGAUUGUGUUCACUCUCUCCCCUG
rnacentral:snRNA from 1 species